GAGAUUGUGGCCCAAUGGUAGAGUGAUCACCUAGCACGUGCGAGGCCCUGGGUUCAAUCCUCAGCAUCACA
rnacentral:tRNA from 1 species